rnacentral:rRNA from 1 species
GACGGACGCUGGCGGCGUGCUUAACACAUGCAAGUCGAACGGAAAGGCCCUGCUUUUGUGGGGUGCUCGAGUGGCGAACGGGUGAGUAACACGUGAGUAACCUGCCCUUGACUUUGGGAUAACUUCAGGAAACUGGGGCUAAUACCGGAUAGGAGCUCCUGCUGCAUGGUGGGGGUUGGAAAGUUUCGGCGGUUGGGGAUGGACUCGCGGCUUAUCAGCUUGUUGGUGGGGUAGUGGCUUACCAAGGCUUUGACGGGUAGCCGGCCUGCGAGGGUGACCGGCCACAUUGGGACUGAGAUACGGCCCAGACUCCUACGGGAGGCAGCAGUGGGGAAUAUUGCACAAUGGGCGGAAGCCUGAUGCAGCAACGCCGCGUGCGGGAUGACGGCCUUCGGGUUGUAAACCGCUUUCGCCUGUGACGAAGCGUGAGUGACGGUAAUGGGUAAAGAAGCACCGGCUAACUACGUG